UAGUCCAUACCGUCAACUAUGAGAGCUCAUCUUAGAAAAACUGAGAUUUAGUUAACACGUUAAGCUCUUCGCCAGGGAAGUACGAUUGCAAGGUUAAAACUCAAAGGAAUUGACGGGAAUCCAUACAAACGGUGGAGCAUGUGGUUUAAUUCGAAGCAACGCGCAGAACCUUACCAGCCUUUGACAUCCUAGGACGGUUUCUGGAGACAGACUCCUUCCCUUCGGGGACCUAGUGACAGGUGCUGCAUGGCUGUCGUCAGCUCGUGUCGUGAGAUGUUGGGUUAAGUCCCGCAACGAGCGCAACCCUCAUCCUUAGUUGCCAUCAUUUAGUUGGGCACUUUAAGGAAACUGCCGGUGAUAAGCCGGAGGAAGGUGGGGAUGACGUCAAGUCCUCAUGGCCCUUACAGGCUGGGCUACGACACGUGCUACAAUGGUAUCUACAGUGAGCAGCGAUCCCGCAAGGGUUAGCUAAUCUCCAAAAGAUAUCUCAGUUCGGAUUGUUCU
rnacentral:rRNA from 1 species